rnacentral:rRNA from 1 species
AACGAACGCUGGCGGCAUGCCUAACACAUGCAAGUCGAACGAGACCUUCGGGUCUAGUGGCGCACGGGUGCGUAACGCGUGGGAACCUGCCCUUAGGUUCGGAAUAACUCCCCGAAAGGGGUGCUAAUACCGGAUAAUGUCUUCGGACCAAAGAUUUAUCGCCUUUGGAUGGGCCCGCGUUGUAUUAGCUAGUUGGUAGGGUAAAAGCCUACCAAGGGGACGAUGCAUAGCUGGUCUGAGAGGAUGAUCAGCCACACUGGGACUGGGACACGGCCCAGACUCCUACGGGAGGCAGCAGUGGGUAAUAUUGGACAAUGGGCGAAAGCCUGAUCCAGCAAUGCCGCGUGAGUGAUGAAGGCCUUAGGGUUGUAAAGCUCUUUUACCCGGGAUGAUAAUGACAGUACCGGGAGAAUAAGCUCCGGCUAACUCCGUG